UUCGUAGGCGGUUUCGUAAGUCGGAUGUGAAAACUCCAGGCUCAACUUGGAGACGCCAUUCGAUACUGCGAUGACUUGAGUCCGGUAGGGGAGUGUGGAAUUCCUGGUGUAGCGGUGAAAUGCGCAGAUAUCAGGAGGAACACCGGCGGCGAAGGCGGCACUCUGGGCCGGUACUGACGCUGAGGAGCGAAAGCGUGGGUAGCAAACA
rnacentral:rRNA from 1 species